AUGGCAACCCACACAGUGAGCACACACACUGGCGAGGACGAACUUCACAAGCAGACACACAACCAGCAGGAUAAGCAAGAAACUGAAGUAGAUGACAGCGAUGAAAGGGUACCAAAGCUUGGCAUGAAAUUUUUAUCUGAAGAGGAAGCCUAUUUAUUUUAUAACAACUAUGCUAAAACUAUCGGUUUUAGCAUCAGAAGAAGUAGUGGCCAUAAAGUGACAAACUCUUCUACAUUUCAGCAACGGACAUUUACAUGCUCUCGUCAAGGCCAUCGUCGGAAAGAUAAAAGAGAGGAGACAUUCAGUUAUAGUAGGCCUGAAACAAGAUGUGGUUGUGAUGCUCGUAUGAAGAUUAGCCUUAGAAAUGGAUUUUAUUAUGUGUAUGAAUUCGAGGCAUCACAUAACCACACUCUUCCUCAUGGAAUAAUGGCCCAAUACUUGAGAUCCCAGAGAACACUGACAGAAGCACAGAUAGCAAACGCAGAGGUCGCAAAGUCAGUUGGCAUUUCAAAUAAAGCAACAAUUGAUUUGAUGGCCAAAGAAGCAGGUGGAAGUGAAAACCUUGGCUUUACACCUCAAGAUAUGAAAAAUUGUUUAUACUCAAAGAGAAUAAUAAAAGCAAAGGUAGGUGACACAGGUGGAGUAUUAGAAUACUUGGAGAAAAAGGUCUCGGAAGAUGUCAACUUUUAUUAUUCAAUUCAAGUGGAUGAGGAUGAGUUGAUAACUAAUAUUUUUUGGGCCGAUUCCAAAAUGGUUUCAGACUAUGCAAUAUUCGGCGAUGUUAUAUGCUUUGACACCACAUACAGAAAACUAGAUGAUGGACGUCCAUUUGGUUUGAUUGUCGGGGUGAAUAAUCAUCAGAAAACUGUUGUCUUUGGUGCUGCACUUCUCUAUGAUGAAACUGCCGCUAGUUUUGGUUGGCUUUUCAGAAAUUUCCUAAAAGUUAUGUCAGAAAAACAUCCACAUACAAUUCUCACCGAUGAAGAUGCGACAAUGGCGAAGGCAAUUCGUGAAGUCUUCCCUCACUCUCACCAUAGACUUUGUGUGUGGCAUAUGAAUCAAAAUGCUUGCAAGCACCUCGCCGGAGUUGUUGAUGAAUAUAAAAAGUUCAAUGUUGAUUUUCAGCACUGUAUUUAUGAUAUAGAAGAGGAGGAUGAAUUUGUAGGUGCAUGGGAUAAAAUGAUUGACAAUACCACCCAAAGAAGUGAAAGCAUGAACAAUGAACUGAAGAGAUACAUUAGUAUUAAAUAUGACAUGCUUACUUUCUUUGAGCAUUUUGAACGGCUAGUUUCGGAUAAAAGAUGUGAAGAGGUGAAGUAUGACUUUAAAGCAACACAGACUACUCCCAAGUUGAAGGUUGAAUCUAGCUAUAUGUUAAAACAAGCUGCAGGUACAUAUACUCCAGCAAUAUUCAAGAUGUUUCAAGAUCAAGUGCUUCGGACUCUGAACUACGACACAUUGCUUUGUGAUGAAAGUGACACAGAGCUGAAGAUUUAUGUAGUAAAAUUUCAUGGCACACAACGUGAACAUGUUGUUAGAUUCAUUCCAGAAGAUGAAAAGGUUAGCUGCAGUUGCAAAAGGUUU
rnacentral:rRNA from 1 species